UACGGAGGGUGCAAGCGUUAUCCGGAUUCACUGGGUUUAAAGGGAGCGUAGGUGGGCUUGUAAGUCAGUGGUGAAAUCUCUGGGCUUAACCCGGAAACUGCCAUUGAUACUAUAGGUCUUGAAUUCUCUGGAGGUAAGCGGAAUAUGUCAUGUAGCGGUGAAAUGCUUAGAUAUGACAUAGAACACCCAUUGCGAAGGCA
rnacentral:rRNA from 1 species